GAAGUAUUUUCUCAUGUUUGUAGUUCAAACUUGCCCUUAGCAAACAUUUGAAUGCUGUGUGAUGUGAAGGACUGCUGACUGAUCACUGUGAUAUAGGACCUGUUGUUUAGGAGAACCAAUAAAUGGAGAACAGCUUCUUCAGCUGUUGGUGUGAAUGAUGAGUUGGCAACCUGCAACACUUUGCAGAAAGGACAGGAAAUGCCCUGGUCUAAUGUAGCAGGUCUUCUACUUUCCUCCAACCUGGCUGGAGCUGCCUGAACUGACAGUGAAGUUGGUUGGUGUUGGCUUGUAGGCUGUUGGGAGAGGAUGGUGAUUUCCAGGCAGACAAGAGCCUAGCGGUACCUGAGUCCCUGAGAUCACAAGGUUCUUCUUGGGAAGCUGGAGGUCUGCAGGUCCUGUAGCUCCCACUGGCUGCAGGUAGAAGACGCUGUCUUGUUGCUGAAUGGGUAAUUAAUGGUGGC